UACGGGGGGGGCAAGCGUUGUUCGGAAUUACUGGGCGUAAAGGGCGCGUAGGCGGCCUACUAAGUCGGACGUGAAAUCCCUCGGCUCAACCGGGGAACUGCGUCCGAUACUGGUGGGCUCGAAUCCGGGAGAGGGAUGUGGAAUUCCAGGUGUAGCGGUGAAAUGCGUAGAUAUCAGGAGGAACACCAAUAGCGAAGGCAGCUCGCUGGGACGUUACUGACACUGAGGCGCGAAAGCGUGGGGAGCGAACAGG
rnacentral:rRNA from 1 species